AUGGCAUUUUUUAUGGACAAAUCACACAGCGUAUUUUUAACCACAUUUCCUGGUACUUCGUGUAUUAACUGCUUGCAGAUAGAAGAGCUGGGAAGCUUGGACUGGGAUGGUCUGGCUCGCAGGGAUCUCUGUGCUGAUUGUGCAAGGCAUGUGUGGGACAGGGUGGCUGAGACAACUGCAGAGCAGAAGUCCAGGAGGAGGAGGAGUAUUUUUGAUGCAGCUCCCAGGGGACCUCUCGAGGCAAAGAUGCCUGCGCGCUGCGGUACACCACUCGCCCAGAUGUUUAUACCAUGGUGUGAGCACAACAAACCUGGAGACAAGCUGUUCCUGGGAGUAGGCACGGGGACAGGCACGCAAGAACACCCCAGGGUGCUGCGUGGGGCCACCAGCCCUACCAGCCUUCUGUCCCCCUCAGCUGGCACACUGCAGCUACCAUCUGCAGGGCCGUGGGCUGGACCAGGCCACCAGGCUGGAGAGGUCCCGUGUGCUCGGGGUGUCGCCACGGUGGGUGAUAUUUGCUGUGUGAAUAAUGAAUCAGUUUAUCAGGAUGUCCCUGGGAUGUUCCUCAGCCCAGACAUGCCCCAAAUAUCUGAGACGGUUCCUAAGAAAAUAGAUAAGACAGAGGCCAAACAGACGAAGGGGUCUGCUGACUUUGCUAAUUGUCAUGUUUCAUUGAUGCUUUCAUUAAAUCAACAUUGGGGCACAGAUAUUUCUAGCCAGUGUCUCAGUAAAAGGAUGUAUGUGUAUGUAUGUAAGUGUAAAACGCUACCAAGUGCACAUGCCUCCCGCUCUCACAGCUGCACUUGCAAUGGCCAAGUGCUGCCUCUCAGGGACUGCUGUACGGGGCUGCUGCUCUCGUUCCUUCCCAGUGGCCAAACUUCUGCUUGGCACAGCCACAUGCUGGAUGGCAGAGCAUGUGCAAGGGUCCCAGACCAACAUUUCUUCAUAGAAUUGGUUAUAUUUUAUUUAUUCGAUAUUAUACAGUUUUAUAAAAUGUUAUAA
rnacentral:lncRNA from 1 species